rnacentral:rRNA from 1 species
AACGAACGCUGGCGGCAUGCCUAACACAUGCAAGUCGAACGAGACCUUCGGGUCUUGUGGCGCACGGGUGCGUAACGCGUGGGAACCUGCCCUUAGGUUCGGAAUAACUCCCCGAAAGGGGUGCUAAUACCGGAUAAUGUCUUCGGCCCAAAGAUUUAUCGCCUUUGGAUGGGCCCGCGUUGGAUUAGCUAGUUGGUAGGGUAAAAGCCUACCAAGGCGACGAUUCAUAGCUGGUCUGAGAGGAUGAUCAGCCACACUGGGACUGAGACACGGCCCAGACUCCUACGGGAGGCAGCAGUGGGGAAUAUUGGACAAUGGGCGAAAGCCUGAUCCAGCAAUGCCGCGUGAGUGAUGAAGGCCUUAGGGUUGUAAAGCUCUUUUACCCGGGAUGAUAAUGACAGUACCGGGAGAAUAAGCUCCGGCUAACUCCGUG